GACGGAGGAUGCAAGUGUUAUCCGGAAUCAUCUGGGCGUAAAGCGUCUGUAGGUGGUCAAAUAAGUCAACUGUUAAAUCUUGAGGCUCAACCUCAAAAUCGCAGUCGAAACUAUUAGACUAGAGUAUAGUAGGGGUAAAGGGAAUUUCCAGUGGAGCGGUGAAAUGCGUAGAGAUUGGAAAGAACACCGAUGGCGAAGGCACUUUACUGGGCUAUUACUAACACUCAGAGACGAAAGCUAGGGUAGCAAAUGGG
rnacentral:rRNA from 1 species